rnacentral:rRNA from 1 species
AUUGAACGCUGGCGGCAGGCCUAACCCCUGCAAGUCGAACGCGUGGCGGACGGGUGAGUAAUACAUCGGAACGUGUCCUAUCGUGGGGGAUAACUGAUCGAAAGAUCAGCUAAUACCGCAUACGAUUGGAGCGGCCGAUGCCCGAUUAGCUAGUUGGUGAGGUAAAGGCUCACCAAGGCGACGAUCGGUCGCUGGUUUGAGAGGACGACCAGCAACACUGGGACUGAGACACGGCCAAGACUCCUACGGGAGGCAGCAGUGGGGAAUUUUGGACAAUGGGCGCAACCCUGAUCCAGCCAUGCCGCGUGAAGGAUGAAGGUCUUCGGAUUGUAAACUGCUUUUGUCAGGGAAGCGGUACCUGAAGAAUAAGCACCGGCGAACUACGUGCCAGCAGCCGCGGUAAUAC